ACUCCUACGGGAGGCAGCAGUGGGGAAUAUUGCACAAUGGGCGCAAGCCUGAUGCAGCCAUGCCGCGUGUGUGAAGAAGGCCUUAGGGUUGUAAAGCACUUUCAGCAGUGAGGAAAGGAUUGUAGUUAAUACCUGCAAUCUGUGACGUUAACUGCAGAAGAAGGACCGGCUAACUCCGUGCCAGCAGCCGCGGUAAUACGGAGGGUCCGAGCGUUAAUCGGAAUUACUGGGCGUAAAGCGCGCGUUAGGCGGUUUGUUAAGUCAGAUGUGAAAGCCCAGGGCUCAACCUUGGAACUGCACCUGAUACUGGCAAACUAGAGUACAGAAGAGGGUGGUGGAAUUUCCUGUGUAGCGGUGAAAUGCGUAGAUAUAGGAAGGAACACCGAGUGGCGAACGGCGACCACCUGGUCUGAUACUGACGCUGAGGUAGCGAAAGGCGUGGGGAGCGAAACAGGAUUAGAUACCCCUGGUAGCGACUGA
rnacentral:rRNA from 1 species